rnacentral:misc_RNA from 1 species
GAUGAAGAACGUAGCAAAAUGCGAUAAGUAAUGUGAAUUGCAGAAUUCAGUGAAUCAUCGAAUCUUUGAACGCACAUUGCGCCCGCUGGUAUUCCGGCGGGCAUGCCUGUUCGAGCGUCAUUUCAACCCUCAAACCCCCGGGUUUGGUGUUGGGGAUCGGCUCUGCCUCACGGCGGUGCCGCCCCCGAAAUACAUUGGCGGUCUCGCUGCAGCCUCCAUUGCGUAGUAGCUAACACCUCGCAACUGGAACGCGGCGCGGCCAUGCCGUAAAACCCCAACUUCUGAAUGUUGACCUCGGAUCAGGUAGGAAUACCCGCUGAACUUAAGCAUAUCAAUAAGCGGAGGA